rnacentral:rRNA from 1 species
UACAGAGGUCCCAAGCGUUGUUCGGAUUCACUGGGCGUAAAGGGUGCGUAGGUGGCUGGGCAAGUUUGAUGUGAAAUCUCCGGGCUUAACCCGGAAAAUGCAUUGAAUACUGUUUAGCUGGAGGUUUGGAGGGGGGACUGGAAUUCUCGGUGUAGCAGUGAAAUGCGUAGAUAUCGAGAGGAACACCAGUGGCGAAGGCGGGUCCCUGGACAACACCUGACACUGAGGCACGAAAGCUAGGGGAGCAAACAGG